rnacentral:rRNA from 1 species
UACGUAGGGGGCUAGCGUUGUCCGGAUUUAUUGGGCGUAAAGAGCGUGUAGGCGGCCAGGUAGGUCUGCUGUGAAAACUCGAGGCUUAACCUCGAGCUGUCGGCGGAAACCAUCUGGCUAGAGUCCGGAAGAGGAGAAUGGAAUUCCCGGUGUAGCGGUGAAAUGCGCAGAUAUCGGGAAGAACACCCGUGGCGAAGGCGGUUCUCUGGGACGGUACUGACGCUGGGACGCGAAAGCGUGGGGAGCGAACAGG